rnacentral:lncRNA from 1 species
UAAUUUUUACUUCUUAAACUUUUUUGUUAAAAACGAAGACACAAAUACACACAUUAGCCUAGGCCUACACGGGGUCAGAAUCAUCAGGAUCACUGUCUUCCGCCUCCCCUCCUGUCCCACUGGAAGGUCUUCAGGGGCAAUAACAAGCGUGGAGCUUCAUUUCCUCUGAUAACAAUGCCUUCUUCUCGAAUCCUUCCUGGAGGACCUGUCUGAGGAUGUUUUCCAGCUAGCUUUUUUUUCAUAAGUAGAAAGAGUACACUAAAAUAACAGCAAAAAGUAUAGUAGAUACAUAAACCAGUACCAUAGUCAUUUAUUAUCAAGUAUUAUGUACUAUACAUAACUGGAUGUGCUAUACUUUUAUUAUACAACUGGCAGAGCAGUCAAUUUGUUUACCCCAGCAUAACCACAUACAUGUAAGUAAUGCAUUACACUAUGAUGUUACCAUGGCUACACUAUCACUAGGUAAUAGGAAUUUUUCAGCUCUAUUAGAAUCCGAUGGGACCACCAUUGUAUAUGUGGUCUGCCAUUGGCUGAAGCAUCAUUAUUUGGUGCAUGACUGUAGAACUUUAAGCAAUGAUGAAAAUGCUCUAUAUCCACACUAUCCAAUAUGGUAACCACUAGCCACUUGUGACUACUGAGUGUCUGAAAGGUUCUGCUUGAAUUCUUGCCCUGGCUCUUGGUGAAGGAUCGGCCUGCUGGAUCUGAGUCAUCCACCUAUAAGAGGGACAACACCACACAUUGGUCGCUGCUCUCAAGCCCCUGGAAUACCACCCCACUUGGCUUCUCCUGAUACCACCCACAUAAACAAAAACUUUUUGGGAGUCCUCCAGAAUUUUUAAGAGUUAUCUAAACUAUUGCCUUUAAUGACCAGGAACU